rnacentral:rRNA from 1 species
GACGAACGCUGGCGGCGUGCUUAACACAUGCAAGUCGAACGCUGAAGCCUAGUUUCUGUUGUGUGUAUGAGUUGCUAACGUGUCAGUAACACGUGUGUAACCUGCCUCCUCCUCUGGGAUCAUGCCUGUAAGCGGGUGCUAAUACUGGUUAUUCCCUGUUCUUCGCCUGGGGGUUGGUUGUAAUGGUUUUUCUGUUUGUAGGGGGGCUCGCGGCCUAUCCGCUUGUUGGUGGUGUUAUGGCCUACCAAGGCUUUGACGGCUAGCCGGCCUGAGCGGGUGAGCGGACAUAUGGGGACUGAGAUACGGCAGAGACUCAUGCGGGAGAGAGGAGGGGGGAAUAGUGCACAAUGGGCGCAAGCGUGAUGCAGAGACGGCGCGUGAGAGAUGGAGGCCUUCGGGUUGUGAACCUCUUGAGCUCAUGGUAAAGCCGCAACAAUGGGUGUGGUGAGGGUAGUGGGUGAAGAAGCGCCGGCUAACUACGUG